rnacentral:miRNA from 8 species
GGGGGCCGUUUCUACUGUCAGAGA